rnacentral:rRNA from 1 species
UACAGAGGGUGCAAGCGUUGUUCGGAAUUACUGGGCGUAAAGGGCGCGUAGGCGGCCUUCUAAGUCGAACGUGAAAUCCCCGGGCUCAACCCGGGAACUGCGUCCGAUACUGGAAGGCUUGAAUCCGGGAGAGGGAUGUGGAAUUCCAGGUGUAGCGGUGAAAUGCGUAGAUAUCUGGAGGAACACCGGUGGCGAAGGCGACAUCCUGGACCGGUAUUGACGCUGAGGCGCGAAAGCCAGGGGAGCAAACGGG